AUGCCUAGGCUGGGUGACCCGCACUCCAGGCCGGCCAUGGGGCGCGUUGUGGUGCCAGCCACGCCGGAGAUGGACGUGCAAGCCGACGCUCUCACCACCAACUGCGUCCUCAUCUCCUUGGGAGGAGAUCGCCGCCCAGCUUCGUCUUCGUCCGUCGCCGACGCACUGCACAAGGAGUUCAACAUCCCUUUGUCCAUGCUCACCGUCGUCAGGCACUUCCCGGAGGACUACCUCGCAACGUUCACUCAUCCUCACCACCGCGACGACGUCGUCAACCGCGGGAACUUCCGGCGCGACCGCCUCGAGCUCCACCCCAAGCCCUGGAUCAUGGAGGCCCAUGCCGAGCAUGAAGACAUGAAGCACCACGUGCAGCUGAGCCUGGAGGGAGUCCCGCUGCACGCCUGGAACGCCGACACGAUCAGUCGUGUCAUCGGAGUCGACUGCGAGCUGGACUACGUGCUGCCCCGCUCCACGCGCCAAGAGGAUGCCAGGACUCUGGGCAUCUGGGCUUGGGCGACAAACCCAAGCGCCAUCCCGCGCGUCAUGCACCUCACGCUGCCGGCGAGACGUGGUCCGCAGCGGGUGCCAGCUCGGGGGCGGUGCCGGCUUCGCUACCGCGUCAUCGUCCACUUGGGUCUCCACGAAGACUUCUCCAAUGUGCGCGAUGACGACUCCAGGGCAAACGCGGACAUCAAUGAGUUCACCUGGGUUCAUGGCAUCGUCGACGGCGACCGUGUGUCGACGGAGCGUCGUGAGGAGCCUCGCGACGACUCGGGGCAUGGUUGGCGUCGUGAUGAAGAAGAUGAUGAUGCCGCGCGGCGUGGCCGCGACCAGGACCGCGACAACAGGGGCUCGAGGUGGUUCGGCCGCAGCCGGUCUCGUGCCUCCCGUGACCAGGCUCGUGACCGCGGCGGCGACCAAGGCCGCGGCGGUAAUGAAGGUCGGGAGGGGCGUGACGGCCAUCGCCGCCGGGGCGCUGUGGUUCACUCAUCGACCAGCCCUGUGCGCAGCCCUCGCGGCGGCUCGUCCCGCUGCACGCAUCCCCUCGACGCGGCACGCUCCAUCUCCCCAACGUCUGUCCUGCCGACCCCGCCGUCGCCGGUGGACGCGCCCACCCCGGCCUCCGGCAUCGUCUUGCGCAUCCAGGCGCCUCUGACGCCCGCCACGGUGGUGGCCACGGCCACUCCCCCACGUCCACCUGGCUUUGAGCAGUCCCCAGCUCAGGUCACGCCGCCCCUCGUCUCCGGCCAGCCCGCUCGCCGCUCUCCAUCACCGACAGGCCACACCAACGACAGCCUGGCGCCCCUCUUUGUGCAGCCAGAGGCACCGCUCUUGGCUGGGCAGCCCCGUGCCCCGCCCAAGAGCCUAGCCAACCGGAGGAAGACUUUGGCUGGUGUGGCCAUUGACACCAACCCAGGGUUCUCCCUGCGUCGCACCACUGCUCAUGUCAAGGAGCGUCAUGUUGCUGUUCCGGUCACAAGGGAGGCUGAGAAGCUGGUCUGCCGGAGCCUCGGCAUAGUGCAGGAUGGUAAGGAUGUCACCAAGGACGCUCUGGAGGAGCUGAGUCGCCGCUUCCAACACGAGUUGUCGCCCUCGGUUCUGUCGGCGCUCUGUUCGUUGUUCAAGCUCGAUGACGAGGAUGCCACGGCGAUUGAAGAUGCUCUGAUUAGCCGCGGUGGCCAGGCUGCCAUGGACCAUGCGGCUGUUGCUGGUGAGGCAACAGGAGAGGUCUGA
rnacentral:rRNA from 1 species